UGGUCAAGCGGUUAAGACACCGCCCUUUCACGGCGGUAACACGGGUUCGAAUCCGU
rnacentral:tRNA from 1 species